rnacentral:rRNA from 1 species
AUUGAACGCUGGCGGCAGGCUUAACACAUGCAAGUCGAGCGGGGUGAUGGUGCUUGCACUAUCACUUAGCGGCGGACGGGUGAGUAAUGCUUAGGAAUCUGCCUAUUAGUGGGGGACAACAUCGCGAAAGGGAUGCUAAUACCGCAUACGUCCUACGGGAGAAAGCAGGGGAUCACUUGUGACCUUGCGCUAAUAGAUGAGACUAAGUCGGAUUAGCUAUGUGGUGGGGUAAAGGCCUACCAAGGCGAGGAACUGUAGCGGGUCGGAGAGGAUGAUCCGCCACACUGGGGCUGAGACACGGCCCAGACUCCUACGGGAGGCAGCAGUGGGGAAUAUUGGACAAUGGGGGGAACCCUGAUCCAGCCAUGCCGCGUGUGUGAAGAAGGCCUUAUGGUUGUAAAGCACUUUAAGCGAGGAGGAGGCUCUUUUGGUUAAUACCCAAGAUGAGUGGACGUUACUCGCAGAAUAAGCACCGGCUAACUCUGUGCCAGCAGCCGCGGUAA